UAAGCAUAUCAAUAAGCGGAGGAAAAGAAACCAACAGGGAUUGCCUCAGUAACGGCGAGUGAAGCGGCAACAGCUCAAAUUUGAAAUCUGGCUCUCCUUGGGGGUCCGAGUUGUAAUUUGGAGAGGAUGUUUCUGGCGCGGCGCCUACCGGAGUUCCUUGGAACAGGACGCCACAGAGGGUGAGAGCCCCGUACGGUGGGACGCCUAGCCGCAACGAAACUCCUUCGACGAGUCGAGUAGUUUGGGAAUGCUGCUCAAAAUGGGAGGUAAAUUUCUUCUAAAGCUAAAUACCGGCCAGAGACCGAUAGCGCACAAGUAGAGUGAUCGAAAGAUGAAAAGCACCUUGAAAAGAGGGUUAAACAGUACGUGAAAUUGUUGAAAGGGAAGCGCCUGCGACCAGACUCGCGCCCCGCGGACCAGCCGGCGUUCUCGCCGGUGCACUCCGCGGGGUGCGGGCCAGCAUCGGUUUUCCCUGGGGGAGAAAGGCCGCGGGAACGUAGCUCCUUCGGGAGUGUUAUAGCCCGCGGCGCCAUGCCCCAGGGGGGACCGAGGACCGCGC
rnacentral:rRNA from 1 species